AGUUUUGCACAGUGGCAGUAUCGUAGUCAAUGAGGUUUAUCUGAGGCAUGAUUAUUGCUAAUUGAAAAAAAAAAUCCAGGAAGAAAUAGCCUUAGAGACGAUGCUAGAUCUUAAUAUAUUAUUAUUUUAUCAAAU
rnacentral:snRNA from 1 species